AUUGAACGCUGGCGGCAUGCCUAACACAUGCAAGUCGAGCGGAGCGGCGGACGGGUGUGUAAUGACUAGGAAUCUGCCUGGUAUUGGGGGAUAACGUCCGGAAACGGGCGCUAAUACCGCAUACUAUCAGAUGAGCCUAGGUCGGAUUAGCUCGUGGGUGGGGUAAAGGCCUACCAAGGCGACGAUCCGUAACUGAUCUGAGAGGAUGAUCAGUCACACUGGAACUGAGACACGGUCCAGACUCCUACGGUAGGCAGCAGUUGGGAAUAUUGGACAAUGGGGGAAAGCCUGAUCCAGCCAUGCCGCGUGUGUGAAGAAGUUCUUCGGAUUGUAAAGCACGUUAAGUUGGGAGGCGUUACCAACAGAAUAAGCACCGGCUAACUUCGUGCCAGCAGCCGCGGUAAUUC
rnacentral:rRNA from 1 species